GACGAACGCUGGCGGCGUGCCUAAUACAUGCAAGUCGAACGCAGUGGGGACGGGUGAGUAACACGUGGGUAACCUCCCAUCAGAGGGGAUAACAUUUGGAAACAGGUGCUAAACCGAUACUGAUGGAUGGACCCGUGGGGCAUUAGCUAGUUGGUGAGGUAACGGCUCACAAAGGCGACGAUGCAUAGCUGACCUGAGAGGGGGAUCAGCCACACUGGGACUGAGACACGGCCCAGACUCCUACGGGAGGCAGCAGUGGGGAAUCUUCGGCAAUGGGCGAAAGUCUGACCGAGCAACGCCGCGUGAGUGAAGAAGGUUUUCGGAUCGUAAAGCUCUGUUGUUAGGGAGGCGUUAUCGAACCAGGAAGCCACGGCUAACUACGUGCCAGCAGCCGCGGUAAUAC
rnacentral:rRNA from 1 species